UUCGCAAUGCCCGAAAGGGUGACGAAGCGACGCCGCGUGAGCGAAGAAGGCCCUAGGGUUGUAAAGCUCUGUCGGGGGUUAUGGAAUGUAGACUGGUUAAUACCCAGUCUAUUUGACAAAGGCCCCAAAGGAAGCCACGGCUAACUCUGUGCCAGCAGCCGCGGUAAUACAGAGGUGGCAAGCGUUGUUCGGUAUUAUUGGGCGUAAAGAGCACGUAGGUGGUUUUGUAAGUCAGAUGUGAGAGCCUUCUGUUCAAAGGAAGAACGGCAUCUGAAACUGCAGAUCUUGAGUGUAGGAGGGGAGAGUGGAACUUCUGGUGGAGCGGUGAAAUGCGUAGAUAUCAGAAGGAACGUCGGCGGCGAAAGCGACUCUCUGGCCUAUUACUGACACUGAGUGUGCGAAAGUUAGGGGAGCAAACGGGAUUAGAUACCCCGGUAGUCCUAACUGUAAACGAUGGGCACUAAGUAGAGGGGUUUU
rnacentral:rRNA from 1 species